rnacentral:tRNA from 2 species
GGGGCGGUAGCUCAGCUGGGAGAGCACCUGGUUUGCAACCAGGGGGUCGCGGGUUCGAAUCCCGCCCGCUCCA